CUACGGGGGGCACCAGUGAGGAAUAUUGCACAAUGGGGGGAACCCUGAUGCAGCAACGCCGCGUGGAGGAUGACGCAUUUCGGUGUGUAAACUCCUUUUAUAUGUCAAGAAAAUGACGGUAGCAUAUGAAUAAGCACCGGCUAACUCCGUGCCAGCAGCCGCGGUAAUACGGAGGGUGCAAGCGUUACUCGGAAUCACCGGGCGUAAAGGACGCGUAGGCGGGUUGGAAAGUCAGGUGUGAAAUCCUACAGCUUAACUGUAGAACUGCACUUGAAACUUCUAAUCUAGAGUAUGGGAGGGGGAGAUGGAAUUAGUGGUGUAGGGGUAAAAUCCGUAGAUAUCACUAGGAAUACCGAAAGCGAAGGCGAUCUCCUGGAACAUUACUGACGCUAAGGCGUGAAAGCGUGGGGAGCAAACAGGAUUAGAUACCCGGGUAGUC
rnacentral:rRNA from 1 species